rnacentral:rRNA from 1 species
CAGCAGCCGCGGGAAUACCGAGGGUGCGAGCGUUAAUCGGAUUUACUGGGCGUAAAGCGUGCGUAGGCGGCUUCUUAAGUCGGAUGUGAAAUCCCUGAGCUUAACUUAGGAAUUGCAUUCGAUACUGGGAAGCUAGAGUAUGGGAGAGGAUGGUAGAAUUCCAGGUGUAGCGGUGAAAUGCGUAGAGAUCUGGAGGAAUACCGAUGGCGAAGGCAGCCAUCUGGCCUAAUACUGACGCUGAGGUACGAAAGCAUGGGGAGCAAACAGGAUUAGAGACCCCUGUAGUCCCUGUCUCUUAUAC